CAGCAGUAAUAAAUGCAUUUUCAUCUUCUCUUAACGUUAAAGCUUCAGCCUGCCUUGGAUGAAGUGAAGUUUGUUUCUAUCACAAUUCCCAAGCAAGAGAGGGAUGUUCUGUUUCCUAAUUCCAGAGAUUUUUCGCCCUUUGGAUUAAAUGCAUUUCUGACUAUGCUUCCAAAUUUACACCCCUGGAGAAAAAAGAAAGGCUUCUUCUCAGAGUGA
rnacentral:lncRNA from 1 species